ensembl:lncRNA
CGGGAGUUGGCGGGGCAGGCGGGUGGCGGUGGCUGCUGCCCGUGGAAAAAGGAGGGCCUUACACCGGUCCUUUAGCUCUGUGGAAGAAUAGUUUUCACAGGCUUGACGUCCCAGUGCCUUAUGAGAGUGCCAUUACAAUGAACAGAACUGCUUUUUUUUUUUUUCCAUUUCCUGUUUCUCUAAAUAAACAAAGCUAGUUAGAUUGGAAUACAUUAUAACUUCUGCAGCGAGCUUCUCUGCUCGCUGAUAAGGUUGCUAAAGGCUAUGAUUUGCAUGGCAUUUCCAAGCUCCUCGUCAUUAGGACACGUUACCAACGUAACAAUUUGUCUGUCUGUCUCCCAGCAGCAGUGCAGAAGGUGCCUUAGGAACGCUGUGCCAUGGGGUGAGCAGCCUGCGUGGGCCGAACCUUUCACUCAACAGGGUGGCAGCGACUAAGGAUGUGGUCCCAUUACAUGGUUCUGCGCCAAGAACUUUGUGCACAGGGCCAACCAUAGAGGGAAAGUAAGACCAUAUGAGAAACUAGGACCACGCUAACCUGCUCGCUUUCCCUUUGCUAUUGACCAAGACACCCUUCAGGCCAUUUGCCUGCCCAGAUAAGCUGUUUUUAGAAUGUAACCAAUUGGGAAGCAAUCUCGCUUAGCCACAUGCGUGUAUGAUGUGGGAAACCCUGCUUUGCUCAUUGUGCUGACCUCUACACGGUCCAGCUCCGUUUUUGUCUGCUAGUGUCAUAUAGAGUUUAUGUUGUCCCAUUUGUGUGUAAGAUGAGCGCAUUGGCUCUGUAAUAUAGUUCACAUGUGUUGUACAUGUGGAUUGUUAGGUAACUGCUUAGCUUGCAUUCUCUCCCAUAUAGUAAAACAAAGGAGGAAGUCCAUUCAAACCUAUCUGCUUUGCAGACUCCUUUAAAACACAGGCAAUUAAAGGCACACCUAGUAAGUGUAGGUGGCCAGAUACUACAGAGAAAGGCAUUAAAAAAUGCAGGACUUGCAUUACUAGACUUGUAGAAAAUUUUUUCCGAUGAGCCAGAAAAAAAUGUCAGUGUCCAAGACAAAGACAGCCAAGAAAGACAAAAUCACAGUGCUCAUGCCAAGCAAUACAGAACUUGUGUGCUUAUGUUUAUAAUUUCAAAGGAAAAUAUGAGUCUGCUGUUCCUCCACUCGGUCUACUAUCAGAUUAUAGCAACAGAAUAGACACUCAAUAUGGAAGAAGAAUGCAACAUGCAUGUGUGUGCUCCCAAGCAGAACCAAAGCUGCUAGAGCUAGCAUCUCUUUCAGUAAUAAUCUGUGUGGCAAUACAGUCCUGCAUUUUUCAGAUGUUGGAUAGUGAUUUAAAUCCAUUAUGCCUGAAUUCAGCAAAAGCCACUAGCCUUGAAAUUUGGUUUUGAGCCCGCUUAUGAAAUAGACCAGCUAUUUUCAUCGAAUUUCUCAUAAGUAAUUUUGCAAAUCGCAGAAACUGCUCUGUAAACUGAUACUGUUUAAAGCGCUCAGGCACUGAGGGUAUCUCAGGCGACAGUCCCUGUCACAUCAGGAAUUGUGCUGCUGAGGAUUUGGUUUGCUCUACCCUGCCAAUAUGCCUAUUCAUGGCAUAAAUAAGGAGCAUCAGGCUGUGUAAAUACUAGUCUUAAUCACAAAAUAAAUUCAGUAAAAAUAAACUACAUUUUAAUAAUAUUAGGCCUGCAGAAGACAGCUUAAUCUUAAUCUGAAAUGAUGAAUCAUAACAACCUUGAAGGGUAUUUGCAUCACAGUAUUGUGCUGGUUGUCUGAUGAAACAUCACUUGGAAAGUACUGUAUUUUUCAAAACAUGCAGUAUGAUAGAAUCAUGGAAUUGCUCAGGUUGGAAAAGACCUUAAAGAUCAUCACAUCCAACCACAACCUAACCAUCCUACCCUAACUCUAACAACCCAUAGCUAAAUCAUGUCCCUGAGCACCACAUCCAAACGGUUUUUAAAGACGUCCAGGGAUGGUGACUCAAACACCUCCCUGGGGAGCUCAUUCCUUAAUUCGCUUAACAACCCUUUCUGUAAAGAAGUGUUUCCUGAUAUCCAACCUAAAAUUACCCUGGCACGACUUGAAGCCAUUUUCCCUCAUCCUGUCACCUGUCACCAGUCAGAAGAGACCAACCCUGCUCUCGCUGUAAGCACCUUUCAGAUAUCAGAAGAGAGCAAUAAGGUCUCCCCUCAGCCUCCUUUUCCCCAGACUAAACAGCCCCAGUUCCUUCAGUCUCUCCUUGUAGGGCAUAUUCUCCAAGUAUCUACCAUAUGGUUUCAAUUUCAUAAGAUAUAAACUUUUUUGAAACAUAUGGAUUAACAACAAAAGUAUGAAAACUAUAUGAUUAGACUAAAAUUCCUUGUUUACAUUCAUAUAGCAGUCUGUAUGUGAGAAGGAGUUUGUUGACCAAUGCUAAUGUGUUAGGUGAUGCAGUAGGGUGAUGGAAGCAUUUUCUUUAUGUGCUGCCUAAAGAACUUGGUUGUAUUUCCCUUAAUGAAAGUAACUGUGGAAGUUUAACUUCAGAAAGAAUCAAACCCGUUUUGUUUUGACCUGCCUUGUUUACCUUGCAGGAAAGGUAGCGAUACCUGUUUAAAUCAAAGAUGAACACUUUAGGUGAUAGGCACUUAGAAAGAGGCAGUGUUCCCCUGAGCUGGUUAUCAGUAACAGACAUCUCACCUGGUCAGGAUUUAGCAAUCUGCAAAAGCUUGGACACGUCAGGUUUUAGUAACAUGAGGUAUUUAUCCUGGUAGUAGAGCAGCACUCAGAGACACUGUAGUCUGAAUUUGAAAAUAAACUUUGGUUAAUUCUCCACUUGUCCAGGAUGGGGUGUGGAAGCCUAUCAUGAAAUACGGAAAGAGCAGUUCAAGACUGUCAUGAUGAAGAGAGCUGUAUUAAAGAAAUAUUAGAUCAUGAAUUGGGUAGUCUUGCAGCUGCUUUCUUCUGUCAUUCCCUGCCCAGGAAUUUCUUACUAGUUCUUGGAAUCACUGGGGAACUGCGAAUCCUAAACUUAUGUUUAAGAGAGGUGUGCAUAGGUAGAAGGUCAUCCAUCUGAUAGGACUUAAUCUUUGUAGAUCCUUCUUCCCUUCGGGCUCUGAAAUUCAUGUGUGUAAAAUCUGUGAUCCAAAUAUGUUUUUGAAAACUGUUUGCAAUUAGAUGAGUGCUUCGCUGUUACUGAUACCAAAAUGAAUAUUCCACGCCACAUAUUAAAUGGAUAUUACCCUUUAGAUGGGGACACAUUCCUUUCACUUUAUUUACAUUAAUUCUUGUCUUUUUUUUUUCAGAAUUAUUUUACUUGAAAACACAUUCUUUUGAUUAUAAAGCCAUUGGAACUGUCUGCUAGUUAGAAAUGAUACGGAUCUUAUUAAGUGUUUUAAAUGGAGUCUUGGUUAAUUCAAUAGGGUAGAAUCAAAUCUGUGAGGGAAGGGUUUUUUUUACUUCUUCUUCUUUUUUUUUUUUUUUUUAAUCUAUGAGUGAAGCACUGAUAGCAAAAAGGCAGAAGUAUUUUUCAGCAUUGCAAGCCUCAGCCAACCUUCAGCCCAAAAAGCGUGACGUGGAACUGAGCGCCGUGCAGGACUGCAGAGCGCCGUGGAGAGACUCCGAAGAGCAGCAGCUCAAUGUGCAGAACACAGGCGGGAGGAAACAGGAAACCAUUCCCACAGCUGCAGCACUUGCUGUAUUCUGGUGCAGGCCGAGUAAAAUCUUCUUACCUUAGACAACAGACAACAGCUUCUGUGACUGUUCAGGAAACCAGUGAAGACUCCAUCAGCCAACAGCAACUGGCAGAAUUUAAGAUUCACAAUUAGGGGAAAAAGCAACGCCAAAGCCCAUAGUCUGGAAAUCACCAUUUUCUUCAGAGCAAAUCAUAGUCUCUCUCCUAUUAAGAACCUCUUAACGCAACACUUGUCAAGCUGUAUUGCACCGUGUGUUUCUCUAAUGAACUUUGCUCUGUUCACUUUUUGCACCCUAUUAACUGGCAGAGUGUUAUACCUCUAGCGCUUCCCCUUCGUACCGCUCAGCUCCCCAGGGAUCACGGUACAACUGUCUAGUGCAAAGUUUAAAGGUCAGCACAGGCAAUCUGGAAAAAGAGCAGUUGAAAACUAACAGCAAUCUGUGGACGUUCUGUUCAUUCUUCUGAAUUGUGUUUUGCCUUACGCAUGCUGUAAACAAAUCAGGGCUGUAAAAUAAAAUCAAAGUUCACAUGUUUGCAGUUCUUGAUACUGUACUUUGUAAGCCAUCUAAAGCCAAGUUUGUCCAUUUAUUAUCUAAAUCCUUAAUUAUGUUUAUUAUCUAACUUCUUAAUUAUGUUUAAUAUAAUUAGUUGUAUCUUUAAAAAUACUGCAUGCCUGAGGGGUGUGGAUUAGGAAUGCACAAAAUGGCUGUUUUAAUAAGUCACGCUGCUAUACGAAGAUACUCUUUCAUUUGGAAGUACUUUUUUGGCACUAGAGUUCAAUGAGAGCAUUUAAAACACUUUGUAUAUUAAAGUCACUUCUGCUAAGAAACGGAGCAACACCCACCAGAACCCACGCAAUCAAACUUCGUUCACAGAUUCAUCCACGUAACCCAAGACAGAAUUUACCUAUUCCUUGUAAACUUGCUAUAAACAGCAUUUGUUGACACGAUAAGGUCUCUGAGUAUACAAGUCUUGCUAAGUUACAACAUGUACUGUUAGCACACUACAUCUCUUGAGCGUACUAACGUUUAAAACAGCACAAUUCAGUUAAUGAAACAUUCAAGACUGAUACGCAGUGAGGUUGAAACCAAUGCUUUUAAUUUUAUUUUCAGGUUCGAAGUAGAGAAUACAAGCUUGUGUAUGCUGUCAGCUGUUCACAUGCCAUAUUAACAAAUAUGUCUGAAUCGUAAAGCUUUAAAUGUAUUUGUACAUUCGUUUUAUUACUAGACUGUUUUAUCCAUGUUGGCACAGGUAAUCCAUGCAAGGUACAGUUACUCACACCUCAUAAACCAUGCUGCAUUCUGAUCUGAACUAAGAACUUCAGAAAAAUAUGUAUCUAAAAGCAAGGGCACUUGUGGCAUCAAGUCAACAUGUAAAUAUAUUAUAAAACCUAGACUUCUAUGAUCACCGCAGACAAGAAAUCACUCAGUUUCAAAUUCGGAUGUUUGUAAAUGCUAAACAACUUAAUAUCUGCUACCUGGAGACAAGUAUUACAAAUAAACAUCAGCAUACCCAGCAUUAGACACUAAUGAGUGUGCUCAGUGCUGUGGAUGUUCACAUUAUUAAACAUAAAUAUGUCUUUAAGGAAACAUUUCACCCAAAGUACUGACCACUGAAGGACCAAAGUAAAAUACUUUUUCCUCGUUUAAAAUUGCAAUGUGUGAAUGCAGUGCAGUACAAAUUAACUUAGAAAAAAUAAGUCAGGUCGAUGGUUUUCUUUUCAGAUAAUAAAAGCAAAGCCUUCUUUGGUAAUCUUUACUCCCUUAUGCAAAAAGAGCAGAAAAAGAGAAAAAGCAUUAAGGUCAUUUUUGAAGCCUUUGGCUGAAAAGAUGCUGAACACCUUAUUAGAUAAAAUACCGGUAUUCCUAUUUGGUCAUUCAGAGGUACAGGAUCUUUGUUUUAUUACGUAAAGUCCCACGUUAAUUAAUAUAAAUAUUUAGGAACUUAUGACUUAUCCCAGGCAUCUGUUACAAGACAUAAAACAUAAACAAGUGCACAUUAUUCAUCCUGCAAACACUAUUUUUGUAUAGCAUUUAUGUUCAGUGAUAGUUGAAGGGCCCUGUUCUGAAUAACGUAACUAUGCAUCUUUUCCUCCACAUCACAAAGGUGACGUGGCAGAAGAGUAUCAGCAGUUAUGUGGGAUUCUAUCCCUGUGAAAGUUAAAAGUUCCACAUUACUAUUCACAAAUUUCUGGUUCAGAUAUGUGCAAAAAUUAUGUAGGGGCAGGUAAGUGGAUUCCCUAUUUUUGGACCAUAUUAUGAAGCAGCACAAGUCAAAACAGGAAAUUUAUUACAUGAUAAUCCUCAGGGUAUCUCUGUUCUUCACUCAGAGAUAUCUCUGUACCUCAUAAACUGAUAUGUAAACUAGUUUUAAUCUCACUUGCUCAGACACCAGCUGGAGUCAGGGCAUGUGUUACAGUGCAGGUUACCUGUCCAAGGAAAUUUUCAGGACCCUGUCAAGUUAGUACAGCUCCCACAGAAAUCUCUACAGCUGCAUUUUCACCGUUGCCACUGCACAAGCUAGCUCAGCUAUACCUAACGUAUGUUGCAUUCACCCUUCUGCAGUGCUGACUUCUACUGGAUAGGAUCCUGGAUCUUCCUUGCUCACUCCUUCUUUAUACAUUCAUACUAUAUCUUGGGACUAUUGUGAGCUCUUUGUACCCCAAUUUCUUGCACCAAGCCCUUUCUUUGACUAUAGCAAGUCAUGCUGGCUCUUCUCCCCUUCCCCCUUCUGCCUCAACCCAAGUAUCUAAUAUAUCAACUUAGUGCAACUGGCCUCACCUAGCUCUUCUCCUUCCUCCAGCCCCAGCUUCCCUUUCCUCCUCAGUGCUUUACCCUUCUACACAAUACCAGAGGCCCUCACCCCCCCCCCCCCCCACAUUCUGGCUGCUGCAGGUGCUCUGUCCUCUUUGAUCCAAACACCUCUUCCCCUGCCCUCACCGAGACCCCUGAUGGAAGUCCUCCCACAUCCCACACUUGUCCACCUGAACUCCCAAUGGAAAGUCCUGAGCGACUUCAUCUGGCAAUCUUGGGGUCCCUUGUGCACACAGAGAAGAAAGAAGCAGCCCCAGCCUGGCUGCCUACCACAUUCUCUGCACAGACUGUACACCCCCUGCUGAAGCUGCAGCCAUUCAUCUCUGACCGUCUCCUAAUAUGCUGUAAGCUUCACAGUACCAGCAAAGAGGGAGCUUUUAGGGACGGAGAAGGUGGAGAGGGGGAGAGAGACACACAUACACACAUAGAUUAGAUCAUGACAUUCUCCUGAGGCGUCACAUGCUCUAGCAUUUUGUGUCAUGCCAAGGAGUCAGUCUCCCUGUUUUCAGAGUUUGAUGCUGACAGUAAGGGAACAGUCCCAGUCAGUGGGUAACACAGAAAUCUGCCCAAGGAGCAACUUCAAUGCAUUCAAAAAUUAAAAGGAAAUAUAGAAUUGUCUCACUGUUAUAAAAAGGUAUUUAGUGAAGUCAAAUAUGAGUAAAAAUGUAUUUAACAUCCAUGAUUAUAGUUUUCUCCUCUGGAGAAUAUUACGAGCCAAAUACGUGGGUUUUGUAAUUAAUGGAACCAGAUUUACAUCAGCCCAGCACUGACUGCAAACAGAAAAUUUGUUUCCUAUAGAAAAAAAAAAAAAAAAAAGGCUUUGCAUAUCAUGUAGUAGUGUUAUAGAACAACUAAUGCAUUCGAAAUCUGACCCUGUAAGCACUCAGACCAGAUCACUGCUAAGAUCAGUGAGAACUAAGAGACCUGCUGAAUAAACACAGGUCAUACAUGUCAGAACUGCCACAGGCAGUUUAGGUUGUUAUUUUCUUCCAAGAUGUGGACUGCCUGC